UUUUUUUUUUUUUUUUUAGUGUGGAUUGGAAAGGUUUUGAGGGAGAAAUACUCUUCCCCACUAUGGCAAGAGAGGAACCCACUGAAAGAGGCAAAAUCCAUCUUCUGCAACUUUCGCUACCUCCAUUUCUAACAAGACCUGACCUCUUUAACAUUUAUUUUUAUAUAUCCGGUUAAACCCCAGUUCAAUCCCCAUCAAACCUUAAACUAGUGAUCCUCUGCAUUAACAGGUACAAAGACCGAGCCGAAUAUGAAGACCUUGGAAAAAGUAAUUUUCUUUAAAUAAAGACCAUAAUUUUUUUUUUCUUUUUG
rnacentral:misc_RNA from 1 species